rnacentral:rRNA from 1 species
AGAGUUUGAUCAUGGCUCAGAUUGAACGCUGGCGGCAGGCCUAACACAUGCAAGUCGAGCGGUAACAGGGGUAGCUUGCUACCCGCUGACGAGCGGCGGACGGGUGAGUAAUGCAUAGGAAUCUGCCCGGUAGUGGGGGAUAACCUGGGGAAACCCAGGCUAAUACCGCAUACGUCCUACGGGAGAAAGGGGGCUCCGGCUCCCGCUAUUGGAUGAGCCUAUGUCGGAUUAGCUAGUUGGUGAGGUAAUGGCUCACCAAGGCGACGAUCCGUAGCUGGUCUGAGAGGAUGAUCAGCCACAUCGGGACUGAGACACGGCCCGAACUCCUACGGGAGGCAGCAGUGGGGAAUAUUGGACAAUGGGCGAAAGCCUGAUCCAGCCAUGCCGCGUGUGUGAAGAAGGCCCUCGGGUUGUAAAGCACUUUCAGCGAGGAAGAACGCCUAGUGGUUAAUACCCAUUAGGAAAGACAUCACUCGCAGAAGAAGCACCGGCUAACUCCGCGCCAGCAGCCGCGGUAAUACGGAGGGUGCAAGCGUUAAUCGGAAUUACUGGGCGUAAAGCGCGCGUAGGUGGCUUGAUAAGCCGGUUGUGAAAGCCCCGGGCUCAACCUGGGAACGGCAUCCGGAACUGUCAAGCUAGAGUGCAGGAGAGGAAGGUAGAAUUCCCGGUGUAGCGGUGAAAUGCGUAGAGAUCGGGAGGAAUACCAGUGGCGAAGGCGGCCUUCUGGACUGACACUGACACUGAGGUGCGAAAGCGUGGGUAGCAAACAGGAUUAGAUACCCUGGUAGUCCACGCCGUAAACGAUGUCGACCAGCCGUUGGGUGCCUAGCGCACUUUGUGGCGAAGUUAACGCGAUAAGUCGACCGCCUGGGGAGUACGGCCGCAAGGUUAAAACUCAAAUGAAUUGACGGGGGCCCGCACAAGCGGUGGAGCAUGUGGUUUAAUUCGAUGCAACGCGAAGAACCUUACCUACUCUUGACAUCCUGCGAACUUGUGAGAGAUCACUUGGUGGCCUUCCGGAAAACCAAAAACAAGUGGUUGCUUGGGUUGUCUCCACCUCCCGUUUGUGAAAAAGUUGGGGUUAAUUCCCCCUACCAAAG